rnacentral:rRNA from 1 species
GCGCGAAAACUUUGCAAUACACGAAAGUGUGACAGGGCUAUCCCGAGUGCCAUCCGCUGAGGAAGGCUUUUACCCAGUCUAGAACGCUGGGGGAAUAAGGAGAGGGCAAGUCUGGUGUCAGCCGCCGCGGUAAUACCAGCUCUCCGAGUGGUGUGGAUGUUUAUUGGGCCUAAAGCAUCCGUAGCUGGCUAAGUUAGUCCCUUGUUAAAUCCACCGAAUUAAUCGUUGGAUUGCGGGGGAUACUGCUUGGCUAGGGGACGAGAGAGGCAGACGGUAUUUCCGGGGUAGGGGUGAAAUCCUAUAAUCCCGGGAAGACCACCAGUGGCGAAGGCUGUCUGCUAGAACGCGCCCGACGGUGAGGGAUGAAAGCUGGGGGAGCGAACCGGAUUAGAUACCCGGGUAGUCCCAGCUGUAAACGAUGCAGGCUAGGUGUUUGGACGGCCACGUGCCGUUCUAGUGCCGCAGGGAAGCUGUUAAGCCUGCCGCCUGGGGAGUACGAUCGCAAGAUUGAAACUUAAAGGAAUUGGCGGGGGAGCC